rnacentral:rRNA from 1 species
GAUGAACGCUAGCGACAGGCUUAACACAUGCAAGUCGAGGGGCAGCACAGGUAGCAAUACCGGGUGGCGACCGGCGCACGGGUGAGUAACGCGUAUGCAACUUACCUAUCAGAGGGGGAUAACCCGGCGAAAGUCGGACUAAUACCGCAUGAAGCAGGGGUCCCGCAUGGGGAUAUUUGCUAAAGAUUCAUCGCUGAUAGAUAGGCAUGCGUUCCAUUAGGCAGUUGGCGGGGUAACGGCCCACCAAACCGACGAUGGAUAGGGGUUCUGAGAGGAAGGUCCCCCACAUUGGUACUGGGACACGGACCAAACUCCUACGGGAGGCAGCAGUGAGGAAUAUUGGUCAAUGGCCGAGAGGCUGAACCAGCCAAGUCGCGUGAGGGAUGAAGGUUCUAUGGAUCGUAAACCUCUUUUAUAAGGGAAUAAAGUGCGGGACGUGUCCCGUUUUGUAUGUACCUUAUGAAUAAGGAUCGGCUAACUCCGUG